ensembl:lncRNA
UGUGGGUCAGUAAAUUAUCAGGACAUUUUUAUUCUGGAAGUCAACUUAUCCUUUAAAGUUUAGUGAACAUUCAUAAACACACAACAUUUUCAGUUUGAUAUAAAGUUUUCAAUUUCAGCAUAUCAUCGUUUUAGCAUCAACACACUAAUUUCGUUGAUUCAUUAAUUGAUUAGUCAUUAACAUUAAAUGAUAUUAUUGUUUUUUGUGUUAUUUUCCCACUGUUGUUUAGUCUUAUGAAUGUAGGUUUAAAGGGCUGUUUGUAAUCAUGAAUAAGAGAUACAAGUGAAUGUUUAUGGAAACUCAAGGUUAAUGGGAUGUUGUUUGGUAUAACAGUACUUGUUGAAUUUGUCCUGUUUAGACGAAGUCUGAGCAUUGAAACUGUGCUCUUUUUUAAUCAUCAUCACUUUGUCUCCUGUUAAUACAGGUUUUGGGUAUUUUGGAUACCAGACAAGACUUGCUGUUAACAGGUUUUGGGUAUUAGGUAAUUUUGCUGAAAAGUCAUUCUGUUACCGGACAAAACGAAUACCUUCUGACUGGAUCUGGAUCUUAAUUAUCUGGCAUGCAGGCAUGGUAUAACAUUUCUGAAUGUUUUCAAAUGUUUUAAAUGCUUGUUUAUGCCAACAUUCCAUUUUAUCAUUUGGAAACAUUAUGGAACGUUGCUUUUGAAUGUUCUCGGAACGUUCUGAAACAAGUAACAUUCAAAAAAUGUUGGACGAACGUCCAACUAAAAUGUUUCAGAAAUAAAAAUCAUUCCAUGAAUGAUGUGUAUGAAUGAUAUUUGUGUGCUAACAUUUGGAUGAACUUUUAAUGAACUUUCUAUGAACCUUUCUGGAAGAAUGUAAAGCAAAGUUCUCUGAAUGUUCCUUGUUAGCUGGGAUACUUUAUACACGCCAAAACAUAUUAAAUCAAACAGGUUCAGUAUUAAUAUAUAUAAAAGAACAGAAUAUACAAACUUGCUCUUUGUAAAACACAUGCACAUUUAUGUUGCCAAGAAUCUGUGUUCAUUCCAGUAAGUAAACAUAGAUCUAAUACAUCCCACAUUACAUCAACAUCACUGUAAAAAACUGCUUAAAAAAACAAUAAAUGCAAGACUGCAAGACGGCUUACACAAACACACACAGAAAUCUGGGUUAGGCAUUCCUGCCAUAUGACUACAUUCAUUAAUGGUCUGACAAAACACACACACAGUGACUCUUGGUCAGAAUGAAAGUGAAUAUCACAUGCAAAUAAGUGAAUAUCAACAUAUUUUCUGCAGAGAUAUUGUGGUCAGUAUCAGUGCAAUGCUGACAAACAAUCAUGUCGAUUAUCUACAUACAUGAAGUGACAAUAACAGCAAAGAUAAAAGUGUUAUUUUGAAGUUCACAAUCCUAGAUAACGUAAAUAUGUUUUAAGAACAUUCUGAUAAAGUUCCUGUUAAGUUAUGAAAAUGUAAUUUGUUUAAAGGUUUAAAAUCUUUUUUUUUUUCGUGGUUAUCUGAACGUUAUAGAAAUCAUGAAUGAAAUAUUUCAUUCUAUCAUUUUGCAAACAUUAUGGGAAUGUUAUUUUGAAUGUUCUUUAAAGCUACCUAGGUAACUAAUUUAGGUUAUAAAAACAUUGUGGGAACAUUGUAAAAAAAAAAUUAUCUUGUUAUUAGAAUGCUAUUUAAAGGUUACAACGUUCUACGAACUCUAUUUUCCCCAAAAAAAUAUUCUUUGAUCCUUAAACGGUCUAGUUUUCUUGUCAUGAUUUGAACGUUAUUUAAAUGUAACAAAAACGUUUCUUAGAACAUUCAUCAUAUAGUUUGAGAGAACCUUGCCAGAAAUCUAUUCAUCUCCAACAUCCACGAUUUCAACAUAACGUUUACAUGCAUGUAGCGGAGAUUCAUAAUAAACUCAAAGUCAUAAUACAUUUAUAGGAUGUCCUAUAAUCUUUCUGUCAUUUUAGGUUUUCCCUUUUUUUGACGAAUACCAAAUUAUGAGUUUUACUGCAGUCAUAAUAAUGAUGUUAUUGAGACAGAAACCACACUGUUCUUAAAACAGAAACAUAAACUAUGGAUUUUUUUUGUUGAACUGACAGGACUUUAUAAAUCCACUGAGUAAAUAUGCUUAAUGUACAUCUUUGCUUUGGUUAUGUACUCUAUAUAUUCAUAAGAAUAUGACUUACAUGUAAUAUAUGAGGUUUUUUGCAUGUGAAAAGUCAAACAUAAUGAUGUAAAGUGUAAUUGAACAGAAAGUAUGUGUUAAAGGAAACAUAUACAUUAUUAUUUGUAUUUGAUCUUUUCUCUGAGGUUCACUCACAUUUAAUGUUUUGGACAAAUUUUACGUUUUAAUAGAACAUCAGCCUCUUUUACUUCAAAACACACUUGACUGGUCUUGAUAUGAGGCCUUCAAACAGCAAAAAAAGCAAUAAUAAUCAUGUUAAAGCAUAAGUGAAAUUAUUAGCCAGUGCUUGGCAUUCACAGUUGCAUUAUUGUUAUGGACUAUUUCAUUUUUACAGGGUAAGUUUGCCGAUUUCCAACCAACUUUGCACUGUAACAAUAUCAGUAGUAUAAGUAAAUGCACAAUGUAUAUUCUUUAUCAGUGAGACCUAUACAAGAAAUCCCCGUUUAAUUGUUAACAAAAGUCUGAAAACUACAGAUUAUACUUGUGUGCAUUUUUGUAUUCUCUAGUCUAGUUUUUUUUUUUUUUUUUAAGUGUUUUUUUAUUGCAUAGACGGCCAGCUUUUAUUAAAAGCCCAUCUUGUCAGCGGUGAUUUAAGUGGCAGGAAAUGUUUGUAGUGGGUUAACAAGUGAAAUGGGUCACCCGCAUAAGAACUGCACGACGUGUGUGAGCUUGUGCAUUUUGUUGUUUUGUUUGUUGCAUUUGCUAUCAUCGGUGAAAAGCCACUCAAAAGUAGCUAUAGAUCUAGAUCUUGCUCUGAAUUGACAGCUGUUAAAUGCUCCUGCUUGAUGUUGCAAUAAAUGUUC